UGGAACGUUGGCAGUACCUGCG
rnacentral:misc_RNA from 1 species